UACGUAGGGUGCAAGCGUUGUCCGGAAUUAUUGGGCGUAAAGAGCUCGUAGGCGGUUUGUUGCGUCGGCUGUGAAAUCCCGAGGCUCAACCUCGGGUCGUGCAGUCGAUACGAGCAAACUAGAGUGUUGCAGGGGAGACUGGAAUUCCUGGUGUAGCGGUGAAAUGCGCAGAUAUCGAGGAGGAACACCUAUUGCGAAGGCAGCUCGCUGGGACGUAACUGACGCUGAGACGCGAAAGCGUGGGGAGCAAACAGG
rnacentral:rRNA from 1 species